GCCAACUUUCAAACUGGAACUUAAGCCAUAUGCUCUCCUGGUCUUCAGGCCUUUAGAUUCAGUCUUGAACUCCACCUUGACUCCUCUGGGUCUGUCUCUUGAGAGUUUUCUUAGCCUCUGUAACCACACAAACCAAUUUCUUAUCAUCUAUCUAUCUAUCUAUCUAUCUUUGGAGAACCCCGACUAAUGCAUUUAUGUAUCAAAUAUUUGCAUGUCGAUAGGAAUUAGAGAAGCAACAGAUUUGACAAAGGACUGAGGUGGAGGUGAAGGUGUUGCCUUUGUGGGUAAAGAAGGACACUGCAGGUCAUUCUACAGGAAACAGAACUCACUGUGGUUAAAGAUAUCUAGGAAAUCUGGAAAGGAAUCCAAGCCUGUCCAACUCCAAAGCCAAAGAAAUGUUCAUGGUGAUUUUACAGAGACCCUGGAAUUAUCCAUUAUUUUGCCUGAGACACAUAGAUAAGAAACCUCGAGACUCAGCGAAGUGAAGAGACCUGUUAAUCAUGCAGCUUGAAUGCCGUGACCAUGCUGGAGCUCAGACCUCCUGACUCCAAGUCAUGUAUAUUGCUCCAUAUCCAGGGGUGCAAAAAGGAAUUUAGACUCUUACUGGAGCUGGUGAGACAACAAGCAUGGAUUGAGGACAGUUACCUGAAAAAUCUCUGUCUUUCAUAAAGUAAAAGAAACAUGGUUUUGUGUAAGCAAUGCAAACAGGAAUAUGCAAGUGUCAUGGCAGAAUGUAUGCAUGGUGUAUCUAUAAUUACACAGAGGCUUUGCAUUUAGAAAUCGUAUCAUUCAACUGUUUUACUGCCUAAAACGCUUCAGCAGAUUGAGAUGAUUUCAACCUGGUGGAAAAUGGUGAUCAUCUUUCGCACAUGUAAGAGGUCUUAGCAGCUCUCCCCUUUCCCUAGUUCACAUUUCUCUAAGCCCUCGAUUAAUUCUUCCAUUUGUAACAUGAAGAUACCAUGGGGCUAUCACCAUCCAACUUUUCUGGACAUGAAUAAGAUAUAUUUGUUUUAUCUUUUUGUCAAUACUUUGACCAGGAAAUGCUUAAAAUCACGCUACAGAUUUUGCAAGCAGACAUUGUCUGUUUCAGGCUCGGUGGCAUCUAUUGUCAGUAGACAUAAACUUCAAUCCUCUCCUUAAAACUUGCCUUUUCUUUGCCAGUGCGGUUGAAUGUCCUACAUUAAAUGACGUGUCCUGGCCCCUCUGUACCAGGUUGGGUGUGCAAGGGCACAGAUAAAAACUGUCAUUACUUAAAAAAACAAAAACAAAAACAAAAACAAAAACUGUCAUUACUUGUUAGUACUGUAAAUUUCCAAAGGCUGCUUGCCCUUGCCAUGUUCUAUGCUAGAUGUCAGCAGGAUGAAUCAAAACCCAUCCCUGCCUCUCAAGGAACUUACAGUGAGGUGAAAGACCGAAAAUAAACAAAUUGUUUGGCGAAUGAACAAACAAGAGAUACGCACAAGGGGUUGGGGUAAAGCUGGUAAUAUGCAGGAGUUGAUCAUAAUAAAAGCUCACACCUUGCUUGCCAUGGGCCACCAUAAUUAGGGCUUUGCCUAUAUUAGCUCUUUUGGUCCUCACAAUAACUCUGCGAGUUAGCCUAUCUCUAGUAGAUUACUAUAGUCUUCAUUUUAUAGAUGGGGACACUGAGGCAUGGAAAAGGUGAGGGAGCAUAGAGGUGUGUGAGCUGAGAGUUGAAUCCAGGUAGAUUGGCUCAUCCACUUAGCUGCUAUCCUAUACUGUCUCAGCCUGUGGUCAGGGGCAGGAGGAGCUGUGAACCAGUCGGAGGAUGUGGGAAACACAUUCGAUGCAGACGGAAUUGCCUAUUCAGAGGCAUAGGAGACUGGGAAGAUGAGGCCGAGAUGAAGGCCUGCAGCUUGGGAUGCCUGUGGCACACAGGUAUGAAGACGCAUAUGCCAAAGGUAAGGCUAGACAUAUGAGCAUAUUCAUCUUGCCCCUUCCAGGUGAAGACUUCCCUGUUUUGUUCUGGAGACACAAGGAAGCUGUUGAAGCAUCUUAGGUAUGGACACGUCAUGACCUGAUACCCAUUUUCUGUGAGGUCAUCUGGGGGAAGUGUGAAGGAGAGUAUCUAGAACAUCUAGUAGAGUAUCUGGAGUAUCUAGUGUCUAGGAAAGCAUAUAUUUUGAGAAGGGAGAGGGGACCCAAAGCAAAGCUACCAGAGGGGAGCCUCUCACGAUUGUCUACGUACGGAGGGAGAGAAAGAUGAACCGGAAGGCUUUUAAUUGAUAGGCUGGACAGGUGAAGAGAAAGGUGCCGAGGACUGUGGCCAGGUUGGAUGUGUCUACAGGAAUGUAUGAGAUGGCGCAGGGAGAAGGAAGGUAGCCCUGUUUUGGAUGUUGAAGGCUCGAGGUACUUGGGAUGUAUGCUUGGGAUGCUGCAUGCACGUUAUGGAUUAAUAGGGUGGGGAUCAGCACCUGGAGAGAGGGGCUGACAAGUAGCACUGUGGGUAGAAGUGACUGGGGGCUUCUCACAGCAGUGUUUAGUGAUAUGGGCAGCUGGCUACUUCUCAAGGAAGGAGGUGCUGUAGGAGCUUCUGGGGGCAGCCAACGUCCUCAGUGUUAUCCACUCCCACCACCAUUUCUUGGAUCUGAGUCUGGAAUUCUGUUUCCAGCCAUGCCUUUACUCUUGAGUUGUGGAAGGUAUCAACCCUAAUUGAAUUAUUAUUUAAUAAAACAUCUAGAAUAGUGCCUGGAAUGUAGUCAUUACUGCACAUAGUCUGCUGUGCAAGUGCUUAUUAAGCAAAACAGGUGAAGGAACUCCCACUUAGAUAGCAGCUUGAGGUCUUUCUUCUUGCUUGAUACACAUAGGGCUUUGGGCAGGAAAUAGAGAUGCCUGAGGAGGACCAGCAUCUUAGAAAUAGGCUGAAGAAGACUACAAGAAGGGCCAUCCAAAGACUAAGCAGAACAUCAGCGAAAGCUCGUGUCACACCAGGCUCAUUUCUUCAAGAAGGUGGUGUCCACAGGGCGGAACCCAGGCAGCAGCACGAUUAAGUGAAAGAUGGCAAGUGUUUUAUUAGGUCUGGAAUCCAUCUCAGAGAUGAAAGUUGGCAUGUGCCUUGUGGGAUUAAUGGUAAUAGUCUCAAUGUUUAUCUUUUAGACCUGCUGCAUUCAAUUUGGAACCAGGAGCCACAGGCGUCAACUAAGCCACUAGCCCACAUGUCUUAAGUGGCUACUUUCCAUUUCAUGAGGUGUUUCAAUAAUCAUUUAAUGAGUGCCUGAUGCCUGCCAAACAAAACAGACAAUGUCUUACAGGAGAGACAGAUGUUUAUGUGUAUGUUUAAUGUCGAAACAUGUGUAGCCUGUGCUCCCUGCUAUGUGCCCUCAUGGUUCUUGCCUGAAGUCCAUUUGUUUUCUGCAAUCCUGCACUUCUUAGUAUAAUUGAUGGAGAGAGACAAUGACACUAUAUGGCUCCUCCAAGGAGACUGUAAGCUCCAAGAUAGCAGGGUUGUCUGGGCCUGCACAUCCACGUGUCUAAGAGCCUGGCACAUAAACACGUACGGAAUAAUGAUCACAAUUUCAGGAAGUGCAAUGAAGAAAUGGUACAACGUCCUUUGAGAGUAGGUAACUGGGGGGAUCUUAUUUAAAUGAGGGGGUAUUCAGACCAGAGAAAAAUUCCGUGAGGAAAUGACAGCUAGAGUGAGAGUUGCAAGAAGAAGGGGGGGAGGUAGCUAGAGAAAAGAGGGGAGGGCCUUUGAGGGAGUGGGGUGGGGGAAGAUCCCCAAGUGAACAGAGUUAGCUGCACUCUGUCUCAUUUCACACAGUGGUUUCCUUUAAGCUUCUGUAAAAUGCCAUUUCAGGAAAUCAUGUGUUCUGUUUUGUAAAAUGACUCAUAAAAGAGCUAUUUUGUUGUCAUUGGCAUUAAAAAUAAAUUCAGAA